UCCUGUCCAGAUGAAAGGAAAUGUGAACGCAAAGCCUGAACUGUGCCCAGGGGCAAACGGUGAGCCACACUAUCGGAGAAGCACAAGUCCCGAGCUGUGCUGGGUGCCCGAGCAAGCUGGCCUGUCUUAGCUGCAGUUGUAAGGCAGGAGAGAGAGGUGCCAAAGCCUUGGGAAAAGCUACCCAAAAUUAGCACAUUGUUUCAAAUCCAGAAGCUGAGCUGGCUCCUCGGAACCCCUGUUUAGAAGCCCGUGAGUAGGGGAGAUGGAAGCAAGAGGCCCCGGGCCUCACUGGCUAAGCUAGCCUAGUCGGUAAGACCAGCCGGUGGGAGACCGUGUCUCUCAAAGACAAGGUGGGUGGCGCCUCUGGUCCUCACACACUUGUGAACUAGUGACUGGAGUGUCGGAAAGUAACCUACGGCUCAUUGCUACUAAAAAGCACACCCAUGAGUGAGGUUGAAGAUGCUAGAGAAACGUGGAGCCGAGAGCCGACUGCAGAACCACAGGCAACAGACAGAGCAUGUGCGGAAACCCCGUUACAGGCCGCAACCUCCAGCUCUGAACAGCACAGCGUUUGAGCUUCUCUAGCCUUGCUCCAGCCUGGUCCUUAGUGAAUUAUCUUUGUCGCUGCCAAAUUCUUCCUUUGGGGACCCUAGGACCAGAAGCUGGCCCCCUUCUGGAGGUGUCCACAGGGCCCCCCAUCAGCCUAGAGCAACAGGAAAGCUGUGGUCUCCUGAUUCUGAGGAGGGCGGUCCUGGCUUCGUGAACCUCGGGGCUCCUGCUCAGGCCGCCCGAGCCUGUCUUGUGGGGCAGGCCUGGGGGGUAGGAAGGCUGGCUUCGCUUGCUCCAGGCUUCGUGGUCCCGUCCUGACCACUUUCAGCAGUGGAGACCACACAGAGAGUUCUCAUAGACCUUUCACGGGCCCAUGAUGUCUGGCUCUUUCUGAGCCCUGAGCCUGGCUGCAUCUCCUUAUUUCACCAAAGAACCUGUGGCCUGACUCCAUGAGUGUCCUGAGAGAGAGAGCUCACAGAUGAGAAAACGGAGUCUCAAAGGUCUUCACAGCUGUAAGUGGUAGCAGCAGCGUUGACACUUACACUGAACCCCUACUCUUAAGUGGGACCACGCCUGGCUUGUGGUUUUUGAAUCUCCCCUUCCACCAUGUAGGAUGUGUUAGCUGUGCCCAUGCAAGAUGACUACGUCAGCAACCAUGCAGAAACUCACUGUUAGGAUUUAGACAAAAAUGCCACACACACAGCCAAUCUUAAAUCCAAUGAGGUUUACUGGAUGGAGAUGGAGAUGGAAAGAAAGAGGGAAGAAGAGAGAGGGAGAGAGAGAGAGAGAGAGAGAGAGAGAGAGACAUAGUAGGUGGGCACCCUGACAGAGAGAGGGGAGAGAAAGCAAGAGAAGGGAAGAGCAAGAGAGCAGGAGGAGGGGGAGGGAGUGGCCGAUAGGUCACUACGUGCCUGGCCGGGUGAUGUCAUAGGACACAGGUACUGACAUAGGACGUUGUCAGGACCCUGAAGGUCCCUAAGGGAGGGCCAGCUGAACUGCCUGCACAACAUAACACUCACUCCUUUUAACUGGCCAAAAUUUAGUUUUUAGAAACUAGUUUUUAGAAACAUCCCCUAUGUCUAAGAGAACACCAAGGGGCCGGAGAAAUGGCUCAGUGGAGAGAUAAGAGCACUGCUUUCGCAGAGGACCUGGGUUCAGUUCAAAGCACUCACAUGGUGGUUUACAACUGGCUGUAACUCCAGUUCCAGGGAAUUUGACACCCUCCUCUGGUCCCCUCAUGUACAUGGUACACAGACAUUAGUGCAAAAUGAACAUACAUAUGAAAUAAAGUUACAAGUUUUUAAAAAAUUGACCCCCCUUAAAAAACAAACAACAGGGGCUGGAGAAAUGGAUCAGAGGUUAAGAGCACUGGCUGUUCUUCCAGAGGACCUAGGUUCAAUUCCCAGCAACCAUAUGGUGGCUCACAACCAUCUAAAAUGAGAUCUGGUGCCCUCUUCUGGCCUGCAGGCACACAUACAGGUAGAAUACUGUGUACAUAAUAAAUCAAUCAAUCAAUCAAUCAAUCAAUCAAUCAAUCUUAGGAACAAACAAAACCCCACCAGGCCCUGAGGAAAUAUCUGCCUUGGCAAGAGGCCCUUUCCCCCAAGUCCAUCUGGGUGACUCUUGUUGGAAACCAGUUUCAAUUGAGGAUGACUCUCAGGAACCGGGAACAACCAAAUGUUCAGAAAAACAACGGCAUUUCUUUUAAUUGUGAGUUUGCCUCCAAACUACCAAAAUGGAUUGUGUUUUACUGGUGCAGUUGGCAAUUUUCCAGAACAACUUCAGACUGGUGUGUGUUUAGAAGAGUCCUGUCACUGAAGUGAGAGCAGCCGUGUCCAUCUUCAGCGUGCUGCAGAACUGAGGGCGGGCAGGUGCAGAGAAAGCAGUGGUCCAGUGCUGAGGGCUGUGUCGCCUUCCGAGAACUCUCCCCUCUCCCUCUCUGCUCUGGAAGGAAGCUAGCUAAACCCACUGGCUUCCCAGGGUGACUUGGUGGAAUCAUACCUUGACUUGUUCCAUCGUCCCCAGGGAACGAAUUCUAGCAUCACAGAUUGUGCUGUACAGAUGUCUCUCUAGCCAACAUAUGGCGCAGGAAAGGGUGAGCAACGCUCUCCUGAGACAGUCCUCACUCUUACGACAAGAGCCUGACCUUGUACAACAGCUGGAGUUGGUGCUGUUGGGUUACAGAGCUCCCUGCCCUCCCGAAGCACGCACUGAGAGAGGGAUGCUCCGGGAAGGUGGAGUCCUCCUGAUGCCAGCGUCUAGGCAUCUGGAAAAGAGUAUUUUCACUUUCGUGUUUUCAUUGAUGGUUGUUUUAAGAUGUCUGAGGAGUCUGGGAGGGUGCUCCUCCAUGCAGAGUUAAGGAGGAAAGACCUGUAUAGAAAAGAGGGAGCAAGUUGACCUCAUUAACACUCAGGGUGUGCUCCAAGCUGCUCUUAGCUGUGACAGCUCUGGUGAGGGGGUGGGACCAAGAGGAGAACAGCAAGUUCAUCAUAGUGUUUUAGACUCCACUCCUGCACAGGGCCCCAUCUGACAAGACUGGAAAUCAAAAUGGAGUCACUCAUGCUGUUCUGGCUCCCUGUUCUGGCUUUAUGAGGAAAGUAACCCUGGAGUAACCCUGGAGUGGCCAAUCAGCUCCUUGUUCGGUGAUUCUGCCUUGGUUCACCUUAAACAGGCUGUUUGUUGCCUGAUUCUAGAAUCACAAAUUAAGGCAAUCCCGACCUUGAAAUUAAACUCUUUAUCAUUUAUUCUUUAACAAUUAAUUUCUUAACUUUUUGAAUAUUAUGUUUGGGUGGAGGGAUAUGCAGAAGGAACAUAAGCAUAAAAACAGGGUCUUGGCUGGGUGUGGCGACACACACCUUUGAACCCCAUAUGGGGAGCCACAGGCAGGUGGAUCUCUGUGAGUUACAGGCAAGCCAGGUCUCAAUGGUGAGUUCCAGGACAGCCAAGGCUGCAGAGUGAGACCCUGCUUCAAAACAAAAACCCUAGAGGUUCCCAGUAGAGGCUGUUUCCUGCAUCGAGCGAUGUCUCCAAAGGGCGAGUACCCGCUGCUGAGGCCACAGCGACCAUCCUGGGCUUCCUUCCUAGUGUUCCACCAGCUAUGUAGACAGUGGUGCCUGUUUAGCUGCCAGCGUCAGAGCCUCUGCCACCCCCAAAGACAGGACUACAGAGGCUGCUCCUGGUGUGUUCUCUUCCAUCACUGCCUCCCUCUCCCCAGGUUACACAGGACCUAUCUCCACCAGAGCCCAACAGUGUCCUGUCAUCUUCACUGUGAGACUCAGCUGUGACUGCCGUUUCCUUAGACUUGGGUUUUUUUCUCUUUUUUAAGCCUUUUAAUUGUUCUUGGUUUUACGAGACAGGGUUUCUCUGUGUAGCCCUGGCUGGCCUCUAUAGACCAGGCUGGCCUCAGACUCCUAAGCAGAGGGAUUAAAAGUGUGUGUGCACGGGGCUGGCCUCAGACUCAGAGAUCCGCCCGCCUCUGCCUCCUAAGCAGAGGGAUUAAAAGCGUGUGUGCCCUGCCACGCCCUGCCAUGCCCAGCGGGGAGUUGCUCUUUAACCCUGGCGAUUGCUGGACUUCUCUUUGUGUGGCCAGCAUUCUAAGUUCCCAAACCAAGUUCCCCAAGCAGCUUCGAGGGACAGGACUGACAAAGACCAAGAGAGGUAACGUGCACUAGUCCACAACCCCCAUCUCCCGGGUUCCGUGAGACAGCUCAGGCCUUCCUGCCUUCGAGAGCCUUUGGCAGGACCUGCUCACAGACCUCAGGCUAGGCCACGUGGACGCUGUUUCUUCCUGUCAUUUUCCCUUUCUUCCACGCCUCUCAGCCAUACUCUCUAGGGCUGUCUCUAUGAGCUGAGGGUUCUUCCCGAAUUUCUGGGCAGUGCAGUUCAAGAUCUCCUAGGGGCCCAGAAGCCGCCAACUCCAAACACCCCCCCUUUGUGUAGCCCCGGGGCUGUAUGGUGCCCAAGAGGGCAGCAAGGCCUUUUCCUGAAGAGGCCCUCUACUGCCGUCAGAACUGGACACUUCUCUAGACUGGUCUUGGGGGUGGGGAGACAGUGCAGGGCUUCCGGUGCUGCGAAAGCCGUCUGCCCCAAGGCCCUCUUCCUGGGCCUUUCACUCCUGUGGCCCUGGCUGUUGAUUUCCAAGGGCUACUGUGUGAAACAGAACCUGACAAAGCCUGGGAGAAAAAUCCCAUCAAGUUGUACCUUCCAGCAGCUCCUGUUUUUUAAAUCACAGUUUCCUUUUUUAACCACACAUGGGAAACAACCGUAAAAACAUAGACAGCUGGAAGGAGGGAGGGAGGGAACAGGGACUCUUUUGUGUCAUGUGGCUCUCCAAGAAAUUGUUCCUAAAUUUAUCACACACACACAUAUAGUUUGUUUGUUUUGUUUUGUUUUUGAGACAAGGUCUUUGUAACCCUGACUGUCCUGGAACUCAUUAUGUGACCAGACUGACCUGGAGCUCACAGAAAUCUGCCUGCCUCUGCCUCUCAAGUGCUAGGAUUAAAGGCACGUGCUGCUGUCUGGCGUAAACUUAUCAUAUUUUUAGUUUCUCUUAGAACACUAUGCAGCCUAAGAGUUUCCCUUUAGAAGAAAGACUGCUUUUGAGAGGCAGGACGGGCUUCUUCCUGGUGGUUUGUGUCCUGCAUUCAGCCUAAGGACACGAAGCCACAUAAGGAAGGGCCUUGAGUAGUUGUUCUGGCAGCAGCCAUGGAACCUGUCAAAGCAGCCAUGGCUCCUGUGGCUGCUACCAACUCCAUCUCCACUCUUCAGGCAGCAAAGACAUCAAGGGACAGUGAAGUUUUAUGUUACACUUUCUGAAACUGAAACUUCCUAACUUUAAGAUACGCUGAGACCUCCUUCCCUCACAUGCUCUUCUCUCCUGGUGUGCUCUCAACGGCCACACUGCUGCCCUUCCCGUGGUAGGUCAGCCCUGCUGCCACCUGCCUGUCUCAGUUGGCUGAGCCUGUCACAGAUACCACAGACCUUUUUCACUGUUGAAGCGGGAUGCAAGAUCCGGUGCGGCAGGUUCCACCGUUGAAUCCCUCUGGUGUUCCCUCACUCAGGGGCUAAGCCCACCGGAGGACACUGCCCUCACAGUUAGCUCCCAAAAGCCUUGGUGCGACAUGCAGGGGUCGGAGCUUCAGCCUGAAGUGGCAGGGCGAGCAGCAGGGUGGCCCCUUCCCAGCCUUUGCGUAGUCCCUCCGAUUCCCACCCACGUGAUGUGAAGACCGAGACUGCCAGGUGUGACUGGACCCCUGCCAGAGCCCCUCUUAUCUUCCAGGACUCGAAGCAAGAAUGAAAUCAUUACCCUGAACGUGAGCGGUUCUUGACAGCUCUGCUUGAGGGCCCCAAGUAUAGUGGGCUGUGGUGUUCUGUCUUUAAGAAGGGCCCUGAAGAAAAGCCUCCCGGAGGAGUAAGAUGGUGACACUUGAAGCUGUCCCAGGCGGCUGUAUAGAGCAUGCAUUAAAAUGCACAGUGACUGUCUAUCCUGCGCACUCGCACGCACGCACGCACGCACACACACUCUGCUUCUGGACUGUUUCUCAUAAGCACGAUCUGUCACUAGGAAAGCGCAAGAUCAAACAUGGCUGUGACGUGUUUCUGAUUCCAGCCAGGGGAGAAGGUGGCGGGCAAGCUCUGGUCUUUUAAACUCUUGUCUCUGUUGUUAUGGUGUUGAUGGUUCCAUUGUUUAUAUGCGAUUAUUAAAUAAUUUCAGCCAACA